AACAAUGGUGCAGAAACACUGAGAUACUGAAGACCCGGAAAUGCUGACCAAUUAGAGCAGGCUUUUUCAGGAAGAGGCCUUUACAUAAAGAAGAAAUUUAUGCUGACGUUGUGAUGAUCUGAUCUCAGGUGUGUGUGAUUGUGUUGGAGGAAUCCGGCCCCCCAUCUUCCAAUCUGUCCAUCUCUCAGCGCUCUUGUAGCAGCGGAUGAGAGCCCCACCCUUCUGCAACAGGUGAUCACAGGACUCCUUUUCUGUUUAAUGGAAACAGGCCUGUCACACUGACCUGUGUGGCCGCCUCAGCUCCAGAGCCCCACGUCACGGAAAGAAGACCCAUCACAGUGCUUCACCUGCUGUUCCCAGCAUUCCCCGCUUAGCUGCUGUAAUCCUGGGGGCCAUGGACAAUAUAAACACACACAGUGGAUUACACUCAGUGUGUGCCUGUAUGUGUGUGUGUGUGAAGGGGGAUAAAAGAGAUGAAACAGAGGAGGACUAUUGCCGGUGCAGUGUAAUCCAUUUGCAAGAAGACCGUGUGUGUUUGUGUGUGUCCAUGAAGAGCCCUCUCACCAGGUAGGCCUAUUCAUCACUGAUGACGGUCUGUGUGCACGGGGCUUACUGUAGAUCCCUAGCUCACUCACUCACACACACACACACACACACACACACACACACACACACACACACACACACACACAC